CUUGUAAUGACUCAGAUAGCUCAAAACAUCACAAUGGUUCCCCAUUGAAUCUUUUCCAAUACAGAGUUACCCUAUCCACGAAGUACCGCUUGGUUGUCCCUUUCAACUUACAUGUGUACUUGACAUUAUUUGGCAAUGUUCCAUCAAUAAAGAAGGUCAGGUAUGGGGACCUUCAAUCAUCAGUGAUGGAAACUGCAAAUGCCUCCUCUGGGGAAAGUGUUCUGCUACAUUUUGGACAAUCGGCUUGGAUGCAUGUGGCUUGUUGCUUCAUCUCUAGCCAGUAGUACCAUUUUCUUUGUAGUCGGCAAUACAGACUCAUAACUUGAUCAACUCUGCAUAUAGUCUUAUGGAUCUCGUGCAACUGUUUUUGUGCUUCUUUUAGUCUAAGGCAUCGGGUUAGCAUUCCUCUUAGUAGAUGCUUAUAGGGCUCGUUUGUUUGACCGGCUUAGGGAAGACUGGACUGGACUAGACUGUAGUCCUUUGUUUGGUCUGCACCAGGAUUAGGUUUAAUGACUUUAGGUUGGACUCGCUCGAAUUAUACACCUCCUUACGAGUUCUUAACGAGGAUCCCCAAUUUCGGGCAGACUCGUAAGCGCUUCUGAUAGAGAGAAAACCGCGAGAGAGUCACUCAUCCAAGAACCCCCCAACAUCGCUCGUUCUGCUCGUCUUCAUCUUUGUGUCUUCCCUCAUCGUCGUCCUUGCUCUGUUCUCUCAUCGUCAUCCUUUUCACCCUCAUCUCUACGUCUUCCCUCAUCUGUAUCUAUUCUCCCUCAUCUGGUCUCAGUUGUCUAGUAAACUUCGAAUCUUCGAUUUAUUUCGUCGAUUUGUUUUGCAGAUCGUGAUAUUACUGAGCUUUAUUUGAUUUUGUUGUUUUGGGUUUGAGAAAUUUUCAAUCAUAAACCUCUACACUUGAACAAAUUAGGGUUUUGAUUUUUAGGUCAAAUUAAGAUUAGAAUUUGGGGUUUUCAUAUUUCAACUUUUCUUUCAAAUCCGAACUCAGAAACCAUGCUUGGCCAUAAAAUCGACAAGUUUCUUUUGCAGAAAGGACACAUACUUCCAUCUCUGUUAUGUUAGCAUAAAUCUGUGUGGAUUUUCAUUUUUAUGUUCUUGUUUCACGAAUCUUUACCAGUUUCUCUUUUUUAUUUUAUUAAAUUGCAUGUAGGCUUGGAUGUUUGUGAAUUGUUUGGAUGAGAAAUUAUGUGAGCUGAAGAAAUUUUUGUUAUGCACUCUUUAAUGGUUUGUGGUUAUGUUCAAAGUCAUAUCCUAUAUUUGGUUUUGUUUCUGCAUUUUUUUAUUUCCUUUUACCUUCCUCGGACCACCUUGUUUGAAUGGCAUUGGAGAUAGGCAGGAAGCAAUUCCAUAUGUCCUGUCAAUGCCCAACCAUGAUAUUACAAUGUGAAUGUUUUGUACCAUGUGGGGUUGAUGCUGAACUGCAAUAUUCUAUGGUUGUUGGUUGCAGAGAAGAGGAGCAUAAACGAAAGUGGCCAGUGCUCAGAACCCAAGGGAAAACAAGUAACAAACGACUCAAAACCCUCAAGUCUAGAAGAAGGUAUAAUUCCUAAACCCAUAGAUCAAUUUUCGACAUGGAUCUACUGAAUGUAGUCCUUGGAUGUGUGAAAGUCUGCGUUUCAUCUAUGUGAAUAUGACUUCUGUUAUAUUAUAGAAAAACCAAACUGUUUAGGCAAUGUAAAAAUACGAUAUUGUUGGAAAUUUGGAAUUAGGGUUGGUGGAGGAAGUGUGUGAUUGAAAGUUUAGGGCUUUGGGGAUAUUGGGGAUUUUUAGUUUUUUGGUGGGAAGAAGCCAAUGCCAUUGGAGAAGGUUUAAGGGUUCUUUUGGUUGCAGUUUCAAGUUCCCAAUUUCCCAAUAGGAUUAAGAGGAGGAGGAAUACUUCUUACUUCAUGUCGUGGGCUAGGGUAGAAGAUACUUUCCUUUCCACUUCUCUUGCCACCUACCUUGACAGUCCUUUCUCUCUCUCUUUCUCUCUCUCUCUCUCUCUCUCUCUCUCUCUCUCUCUCUCUCUCUCUCUCUCUCUCUCUCUCUCUCUCUCUCUCUCUUCCCCUUUCUCUCUAGAUCUAAUUUGAAGUGAUUGAAAAUUGGGUUUUG
rnacentral:lncRNA from 1 species